AUGGGGAUUGUCACAGUGGAUGAGAACAGGCAGCAAACUAGUCCAUUCUCCUACUCCUCCAGCGACUCAGUGAAAGGCCGAUUCACCAUCUCCAGGGACGAUUCCAACAACCUGCUGCAUUUGGACAUGACCGGCCUGAAGCCCGAGGACACCGCCCGCUAUUAUUGUGCGAGAUACAUAAACACAGUGCGGGAAGCCGGGCCGAGCUCAGACAGAAACCUGCCCUCGCUGGCUAAGCACAAACUCUCCGCUGGGGGGCGCUGCAGUUCUACAGCUCGCAGCGCAGAGACCGUGAGCGAGAAAACUCCUGUCCGCAGCUGCCUGUCUGUGGGAGAUCAAACCCCUUCUGAGCCCUCUGUCUCCAUUAUGAAGUCAGAAAAUGAGAGCAUUGCUGCUUGCCUGGUGAAAGAUUUCUACCCUAAGGAAUUGAAGAUAUUCAUGAAUUCUGACAGUCAAACUAUAUAUGAAGCAACAUCUAUCCUCACAUCUAGUGGGAAAUACAGUGCCGUCAAAGUUGCCAAGUUGUCUUCAAAUGAACCAGUGUCUUGCUCUGUUCAACAUAACAGCAAACUUAUUAAGAAAACCCAAACAGCUGAGAAUCCACCAGAUUUCACAUCUCCUGCUCCUGAGCCGUGCAACAUUUCAAACUCUAGUCUCGAAGACAAGAAUGAAGAGAAAAGUGUGAAGACACUAUCCACGGCUCUGCUGGCUUUGGAAAUUGUGCUUGCAAAGAGCAUCAUCUUCAAUGUGAGCAUGAUUGCAAGAUUAGUCUUUGAGGUUUGCAAGAAGGAGCGAGGACGGACCUGAGAAAGAAAGC